UCCUACGGGAGGCAGCAGUAGGGAAUCUUCCACAAUGGGCGAAAGCCUGAUGGAGCAACGCCGCGUGGGUGAAGAAGGUCUUCGGAUCGUAAAACCCUGUUGUUAGAGAAGAAAGUGCGUGAGAGUAACUGUUCACGAUUCGACGGUAUCUAACCAGAAAGCCACGGCUAACUACGUGCCAGCAGCCGCGGUAAUACGUAGGUGGCAAGCGUUAUCCGGAUUUAUUGGGCGUAAAGGGAACGCAGGCGGUCUUUUAAGUCUGAUGCGAAAGCCUUCGGCUUCACCGGAGUCGUGCAUUGGAAACU
rnacentral:rRNA from 1 species